rnacentral:rRNA from 1 species
AGUGAACGCUGGCGGUAGGCCUAACACAUGCAAGUCGAACGGCAGCACAGUAAGAUCUUGCUCUUACGGGUGGCGAGUGGCGGACGGGUGAGGAAUACAUCGGAAUCUACUUUUUCGUGGAGGCUAACGUAAGGCAGCUUACGCUAAUACAGCAUACGCCCUCCGGCUGAAAGCAUUGGAUCUUCGGACCUUGCGCGAUUGAAUGAGCCGAUGUCGGAUUAGCUAGUUGGCGGGGUAAAGGCCCACCAAGGCGACGAUCCGUAGCUGGUCUGAGAGGAUGAUCGGCCACACUGGAACUGAGACACGGUCCAGACUCCUACGGGAGGCAGCAGUGGGGAAUAUUGGGCAAUGGGCGAAAGCCUGAUCCAGCCAUACCGCGUGAGUGAAGAAGGCCUUCGGGUCGUAAAGCCCUUUUGUUGGGAAAGAAAAGCAGCAGGUUAAUACCCCGCUGUUCUGACGGUACCCAAAGAAUAAGCACCGGCUAACUACGUG